CCUUAAAGUAUUUUAAGUUUCUCCUUUGGUAAGUUUUUCUUCCUUGUCUUUUUUUUUUUUUUUUUUAAUGUAGUGCCCCAGUAAGCUAGACAUUUAUUUUACGAAAUGGGUUUAAAAUGCCAGCGCCUGGAGAAUUUAUAUUCCAUAAGCAUUGUUGGAGUUGACAAAUGUCAAAACUCACCAGGAAUCUGCCUUUGUAUUUUAUUUUGGCAGGUUUUGGGGUCCAGACUAGAAGGCUAGUUAGGGUUCUGAAUUGCCUUUAGGUUGCAGGAAUUGCUAAUGUGAUAUAUAAUACCAAAGAAGGAAGAAUGUUAUGAUCAUAAUGGUCUUGAUUUAUAGUUGCCAUCAUAGCUCUCCCCAGUAGGUAACUGAUGAGGCCUAAUAGUCGUUUUGAGCUGCAACCACCCACAAAAACCACACACAUGGCAUUUUACUCAAAACUCUACUUUAACCACUACUUUGUGAUGCAAAACUGGUGGAAUUUUGGGUACUUUCUGUAAAAUUGAAAUCUUGAUGGGGGUUUUCCAACAUUCUAGUUGAUUGUUAGCAAAUUAUCAGUAUACUGAACAAGAGCAAAGAAGGGUUUGCUAAUAAACACCUGCUUCUGUGGUAAGAUAGGGUGCCAGUCUAUAUCUGAAUAUUUUCACUUGGAGGAAGCUACCUUCAUUGAGAGAACAGAUUCUCCUUUUGAAAAAUGCAGUUGAGUAAGAGGUAUUUACAUGAGACCUAUAGUUGUAAAAGAGAGAUUUUAGAAGCUUCUUGUCUUUGCCAUAGUUUACAGUGUUGACACAGUAUUCAUAUUCAAUAUUUUCUAACUUGUAGAUCCCCUUGUAAAAAAGAUUUGAAAAGAAAAGCAAAUCAAUUUGCAUUGUAGGACAAAAUGCAAUUCUCCCUAAGAACUCUCUGUGGAGGGAGAACUGUUAGGGGAACUGAUCUCUGAUGAGAUACUGCAGCCCAAUUCUGGAAGACAGGUAGCAAGUGGGAAGAGCACUUUGUGUGUUUGCCUAAGUCAGGAGAUCUUUGUUUAUUCUGGAGCUGAGUCCUUAGGCCAAUUACUUUACCUAAGUCUCCAUUUCUUUUUCUUUCUUUUUUUUGAAAAUAAUCUCUGUACCCAACAUGGGGCUUGAACUCAUGACCCUGAGAUUGAGUCGCAUGCUCUACUGCUUGAGCCAGCCAGGCACCCCUCUAAGUUUCAGUUUCCUGUCUUUAUAAUUAAAGUAUCACUCUUGCUGUGUGCUUUGGUGGAUACAACAUAUUGUCUCAGGAGUCCUUUGUUACAUCCUGUGUUAUGUAAAGAUGACUUUUAUUGCCAUAAAAUUUACAUCUUCUAUCAAGCACAUAUUUUUUAGAAUCUGUAAAAACAUUAUUUUAGCAAAACCCAACUCUACUUUUAGAAGCAUGUAGUUCUGCCCCUUUUGUAUGUAGUAGUUUUGAAGGAGUAAAUUUCCAUCAGUGCAGCCCAGAAGUCAGCCUUAAAAUAACUGUCAGAAACUUUCAGGCUCUUUCUCAUUAAUACAUUGUCAUGCUCAGGAGGACAGAGAAAUCUAAAAUUGAGUUUUUAACAGGUUAAUUCCUUAGUUUACUGUGAAGAUCUUGAUGAUUUCCCACCAGCACAUAAGUAAAGCUUUGUUUAGUUUGCCUCACUGCAUAGACUGUNUUUCCUCUAAAAUGUUUUAUUACUACUGGAAACAAUUUUAAAAGCAAAGUAUUUGUCAAUCUUGUCCUUGAAAACUUUGCUACUAGUUAAAUUGUUUCAUUUGGAUAUAUAUCUCCUCCGUAGUAUUUGUUUUAUAGUUGCAAGAGUAGAUUUAUUUAUUGAGAGCCUACUGAUCUGCCUGCUACUGGUCUAGGUACAGGAGAUCCAUCAGUGAAAAAAAUACAAUAUCUGCUUUCAUGUAAUUUAUGCUGGUGGGGGUGGGGUGGGGUGGGGGGAAAUAACAAAGAUCAAAUAAUGAAUUAAGCUAUGUAAGGUGAUGUACUAUGUAUUACAUAGUAUGUUAUAUAUAUAGGAGGACAGGUAGGAAUGUCUUCAGAGGCCUUAUUGAGAAAGUGACAUUUGAGCAAAUACUUGAAAAAUAUCAGUGGAAUUGACAUAGUAACAAAGAUAAUACUGUGUGGUAUAUAGAGCAGGGGUGGGGAACUGAGCCUAGGGCAAAUGUGGCUGUGACCUGUUUUAUAGGGAGUAAAGGAAUGGUUUUUACAUUUUUAAAGGAUUUUUACAGACUGAAAAAACAAGGGUGACUAGGUGACAGUAGUUAGCCUGAAAAGCCUGAAAUAUUUACUAUCUGGCCCUUAUUAAAAAAGUUGGUUGACCCCAAGUCUAAACCCCAGUUUUUAAAAUAUUACCAAAAUAUAUAGGAAAUCCAACAAUCCAAAGUAAAAGACCAUGGUUAAUGAAUGAAUGAGUCUUAUCAAAACUUUAAGGAACAGCACAUACAAUUUACCACACUUGAACAUUUAGUGAUCCUUGAGACUUGUGAUUGAGUAGUCUAACCUGGAGGUUUUUUUCUCUGAAAUUUAAAUGUGUGGAAUCAGUAGUUUUUCAAGUUCAAUUUUAACAUUCUUUAAGAUCUUGUGAAUCAUUUCAUUAAAAUUGUUUCCCUUAUUUUUAUGGUAGUUGUACUGGUUUUUGGAUAUAAGUUAAAUGUGUUUCCCUGUUGAAGGGCCCUUUCCUCCAGAUAACCUAGAUUAGUUUGGAAUAGGUUCAGAUAACAUCAUAGAACGGACUUUUAUUCAGUUGGUAUUACUGUAAUCAAGUCCUGAGUCCAGUAUUUUAUAUUAUGAAACUUUGUAAGAGGAAGUGUUUUGUUGACUUGGAAACUAACAUGUCACAGGAUAUUUGGUUUCUUCUGGUGUUAAUUCCUCCAAGUGAUAUAAACUAGGAAAUUCACACAUGAAUUAUUUCUUGCCUAGAGAGUUGGAGUCGCAUGCUCUACUGCUUGAGCCAGCCAGGCACCCCUCUAAGUUUCAGUUUCCUGUCUUUAUAAUUAAAGUAUCACUCUUGCUGUGUGCUUUGGUGGAUACAACAUAUUGUCUCAGGAGUCCUUUGUUACAUCCUGUGUUAUGUAAAGAUGACUUUUAUUGCCAUAAAAUUUACAUCUUCUAUCAAGCACAUAUUUUUUAGAAUCUGUAAAAACAUUAUUUUAGCAAAACCCAACUCUACUUUUAGAAGCAUGUAGUUCUGCCCCUUUUGUAUGUAGUAGUUUUGAAGGAGUAAAUUUCCAUCAGUGCAGCCCAGAAGUCAGCCUUAAAAUAACUGUCAGAAACUUUCAGGCUCUUUCUCAUUAAUACAUUGUCAUGCUCAGGAGGACAGAGAAAUCUAAAAUUGAGUUUUUAACAGGUUAAUUCCUUAGUUUACUGUGAAGAUCUUGAUGAUUUCCCACCAGCACAUAAGUAAAGCUUUGUUUAGUUUGCCUCACUGCAUAGACUGUUGGUUAGCUUCCAGAAAUAAAGCAUGCUUGUUUUAUAAUUUAUGUUAGGAAAUAUUUAAACAGGAUGAAAGAACAGUUUUUAUAAGACCCAACUCAAGGAAUCCAUUUUCAGAAAGUACAACCAAAUAAAAAAAACUGGCUGAGUGAAGAACAAUGAAUAAGGAUCAUGAACUUGGAAACAAACCAAUUAAGUUGAAUGAAAUUUGUAAAGAAUGAAAUAAAAGAAGUUGCAUUUUGUAUGUGUGUGGGGUGACUAGAACAGAGUUCUAAGAAAAAUUUUAUGGGAUGGAAUAUCAUUUAAAGCUUUAGGAUCCAGCAAAGAGUAGAAUCUUCAUUUGUAGGGGGUGGGGGGAAGGAAGGUUUAUCACCACGGUUUUAUAUACAGAAGCAGCAAAGGUCAAGAUACUGUAAAUGUUAGAAAAGUGUAAUGGAAUUUCUCAGACCCUUUGACUUAACAAAUGGUUUAGUUAAGAAAAUUGGCAAAAUCUUGAAAUUUGGAUUGGGGCCAUAGCAGACUUUUACAUUGAAGGCCAAAAAGACUUUCUUGUGUAUUAGCACUGUAUUACCACAUUUGUUACUCAGCCUGAUAACACCAGACAACUUUGAAGGUGACUUGGACCUCCAUCAUUGAAAUGGAAGUGUUGAAAAAGCAACAUCUGGAGAAAGGUGAAAUCACAAUUACACAUCAAAGGCCAUAUAAGUUUUAACUUCAGAUUUUAUGUUUCAAUUAUACUAGCUUUGUGUUCACGCCCAAACUCCAAGGGUAGGAUCUACCACAUAGAGGGUGGAGUGGCAUUCCAAUUCCAUUUAUUUUCUGCUGAAGCUGGCACAUUGAAUGAAGAUUUAUAUCUUAAGUGACAGGAUUCAGACGAAACACGACAAACCUGUAAAAUCUGCAACGUGGACGUGUCAAUGCAGAACUUUCCGAUGAACUGGAUGGGACCAGGAAGACAAACCACACACACUGUCACGUUGUGCUGGGCAGCAUGACAGAUCAAAGAGAAUCCCAAGGAAGAGCAAGUCCUUGCUGGCUGCAGUGCACGUGGUGGGGGGUUCAGCACAGACUGCUGUUUGGUUUACGGAUUCAGGUGUGCGUCUAUCUUGGGCCUGCCUUUUUAUGGAAAAAUUUUGUGAAGAUACACUGCACUGACUGGAAAAUUAUUCACUUGUUUUUUAAUCAAAUUUAUUGAGUGGAAGCAUUGGUUAUGAAACUAGUCAUUUCACUGGACUUUAAUCCUGACCUAGUUGCCAACAAUGGGUGGUAAUUAUUCUUAUUUACCAAAGCAUAGAGAGAAUCUGUGUUAAAAGAGCAACCCAGGCAGGCACUGCUUUGAGGAGGGAACAAGUUUUACCACCUUGAGAGAGAUGAAUUAGUUUUGUGAAACAUGUCUGAUUGUCUUGCUGAAGGACUCCAACCACUGGACAUGAAUGGAAGCGUGCGGCAACUUUGUACUGCAGACAGCAAGUUAAAGCCCCCCGCCCCCCCCACGCCCAGGAAAGCUCAGGAGUCAGGGGCCUCAGCAGAACACACUCCUGACUUUACCACUGUGUGCCAUGGUGCUCCUGACAGCCUGGU
rnacentral:lncRNA from 1 species